rnacentral:rRNA from 1 species
GACGAACGCUGGCGGCGUGCUUAACACAUGCAAGUCGAACGGAAAGGCCCUGCUUUUGUGGGGUGCUCGAGUGGCGAACGGGUGAGUAACACGUGAGUAACCUGCCCUUGACUUUGGGAUAACUUCAGGAAACUGGGGCUAAUACCGUAUAGGAGCUCCUGCUGCAUGGUGGGGGUUGGAAAGUUUCGGCGGGUGGGGAUGGACUCGCGGCUUAUCAGCUUGUUGGUGGGGUAGUGGCUUACCAAGGCUUUGACGGGUAGGCGGCCUGAGAGGGUGACCGGGCUCCAGGCGCCUGCGAGACGGAGCAGUGGGCAAUGGGAGGCAGCGGGGGGGAAUAUUACACAAUCGGAGCAAGUCUGAGGCAGAAGCGUCGCGGGCGGGAUGACGGCUUUUGGGUUGUGAAACGCUUCAGCUUGUGACGCCGCGUGAGUGACGGUAAUGGAUAAAGAAGCACCGGCUAACUACGUG